CUGUAAUUGAAACUCCUCUUAUUUUGGGUGAUGGUAGUAUUUUAAACUCAGAAUUAUGUAAAGAAAUGGAGAUAACGCUGAACCGCUUCACUGCAAAGGGGUGGCUACAGACCAAGCAAGGAAAUGUUUGCAUAAAUCCUAUGUAGGCAGAUUCUCACCUAGAAAAAGCCUGCAUUUCUGCCAAAAUAUUCAGAAUCUCUCUGGCAUCCACCACAAGCCAAUUGUCAGGCUUGAUUGGUCCGGCAGGGAAGGCUUUUGCUUUCAUUUCUGCACAUUUGGUGCCAGCAUAUUUCCCUGACAAGUGAUGCAAGAGGUGACGGCAAGAGUUCAUUGACCGUGGAGAUGCCUACGCAGGGAAUCACUUUCCUUCUUCUGCAGAGCCUCCCAAAAACCUGUGAUGUUCUGAUGAAACCCAUUCUGCUGCAAAUCUCCCUGCCCAGGUGAUACCGGAGAUCUGUUUGGAAUUGCAGAUGAAAACAUGAGAAAAAACAUGAGGAAGGAAUCUAAGCACUGUAACACAGAAGAAUGAAAACACAAUGAGAAGACACUGGCACUGUUGGUGAUUUUCACUCAUUCCUCUCAAGGUAAUCAAAAGGCACCUUCAGAAAUAGAGAUCAAAGGAAUUUAUCUUCAGCUAGUAGAAUCGGCUCCCUUCAU
ensembl:lncRNA